rnacentral:rRNA from 1 species
AAAAAAAAUAGCGCGGUGGUCCCACCUGACCCCAUGCCGAACUCAGAAGUGAAACGCCGUAGCGCCGAUGGUAGUGUGGGGUCGAACUGCCAGGCA